UUGGAGGGCAAGUGUGGUGCCAGCAGCCGGCGGUAAUUCCAGCUCCCAAUAGCGUAUAUUAAAUGUUGUUGCAGUUAAAAAGMUMGUAGUUGAAUUUCGGGGUCAGGGAAGUUGGUCGUGCCACCUGGUAUGUACUGGCCUUGCUGGUUCCUCCUUCUUGAAGAACCGUAAUGCCAUUAAUUUGGUGUUGCGGGGAAACAGGACUGUUACUUUGAAAAAAUUAGAGUGUUUAAAGCAG
rnacentral:rRNA from 1 species